AGUGGGGAAUAUUGCACAAUGGGGGAAACCCUGAUGCAGCAACGCCGCGUGGAGGAUGACGCAUUUCGGUGUGUAAACUCCUUUUAUAUAGGAAGAUAAUGACGGUACUAUAUGAAUAAGCACCGGCUAACUCCGUGCCAGCAGCCGCGGUAAUACGGAGGGUGCAAGCGUUACUCGGAAUCACUGGGCGUAAAGCGCAUGCAGGCGGUUUAUUAAGUUGGAAGUGAAAUCCUAUGGCUCAACCAUAGAACUGCUUCCAAAACUGAUAAACUAGAGUCUGGGAGGGGAAGAUGGAAUUAGUAGUGUAGGGGUAAAAUCCGUAGAGAUUACUAGGAAUACCAAAAGCGAAGGCGAUCUUCUGGAACAGUACUGACGCUGAGAUGCGAAAGCGUGGGGAGCAAACAGGAUUAGAUACCCUGGUAGUCCACGCAGUAAACGAUGAAUGUUAGUCGUUGGGACUCUAGUAGUUUCAGUGAUGCAGUUAACACAUUAAACAUUCCGCCUGGGGAGUACGGUCGCAAGAUUAAAACUCAAAGGAAUAGACGGGGACCCGCACAAGUGGUGGAGCAUGUGGUUUAAUUCGAAGAUACGCGAAGAACCUUACCUAGCCUUGACAUACUACAGAAUUUGACAGAGAUGUUGAAGUGCCUUCGGGAGCUGUAAUACAGGUGCUGCACGGCUGUCGUCAGCUCGUGUCGUGAGAUGUUGGGUUAAGUCCCGCAACGAGCGCAACCCUCGUCCUUAGUUACUAACGGUUCGGCCGAGGACUCUAAGGAGACUGCCUUCGUAAGGAGGAGGAAGGUGAGGACGACGUCAAGUCAUCAUGGCCCUUACGGCUAGGGCAACACACGUGCUACAAUGGUUAGGACAAUGAGAAGCGAUACCGCGAGGUGGAGCAAAUCUAUAAACCUAAUCUCAGUUCGGAUAGCAGUCUGCAACUCGACUGCUUGAAGCUGGAAUCACUAGUAAUCGUAAAUCAGCUAUGUUACGGUGAAUACGU
rnacentral:rRNA from 1 species